rnacentral:rRNA from 1 species
UACGGGGGGGGGCAAGCGUUGUUCGGAAUUACUGGGCGUAAAGGGCUCGUAGGCGGCCAACUAAGUCAGACGUGAAAUCCCUCGGCUUAACCGGGGAACUGCGUCUGAUACUGGAUGGCUUGAGGUUGGGAGAGGGAUGCGGAAUUCCAGGUGUAGCGGUGAAAUGCGUAGAUAUCUGGAGGAACACCGGUGGCGAAGGCGGCAUCCUGGACCAAUUCUGACGCUGAGUGAGCGAAAGCCAGGGGAGCAAACAGG